AAUAAUGGUGAGGCGUAGCGGGGGAGUGCUUGCGCUCGCCGGGUUCCACUUUGACCGGUCUGUCAACCCUGUUACGUCUUGCCACCCCG
rnacentral:antisense_RNA from 1 species